UACGUAGGGUGCGAGCGUUGUCCGGAAUUAUUGGGCGUAAAGAGCUUGUAGGCGGUUUGUCGCGUCUGCUGUGAAAUUUCGGGGCUCAACCCCGAACUUGCAGUGGGUACGGGCAGACUAGAGUGUGGUAGGGGAGACUGGAAUUCCUGGUGUAGCGGUGAAAUGCGCAGAUAUCAGGAGGAACACCGAUGGCGAAGGCGGCUAUCUGGACGGUUUCUGACGCUAAGACGCGAAAGCGUGGGGAGCAAACAGG
rnacentral:rRNA from 1 species